rnacentral:misc_RNA from 1 species
GAAGAAGAAGAAGAAGAAGAAUAUGAAUAUGAAGGAGAAAAUGGUAUGUUAAGCACAGAGGAAUUAAACAAGAAAUUUGAAGAAUUUAUCAGAAAGAUGAAAGAAGAAAUAAGGAUUGAAGCUCAACAGAAAUUAGUCAUGGUUAAUUAAAUAAUCAUAUCAGAAGCAAGAAAUUAAGAAUUAAAUAACAACCACAAGAGAGAGCUGUCCCUUUGUCUCAUAUCAAGCUUGUAAAUUAAUUAGUUACAUAUUAUUUUCUUUUUAUUUUGCUAUAUUUUUGUCUUUCUUUUUGU